rnacentral:rRNA from 1 species
UACAGAGGUCUCAAGCGUUGUUCGGAUUCAUUGGGCGCAAAGGGUGCGUAGGCGGCGCGGUAAGUCGGGUGUGAAAUCUCGGAGCUUAACUCCGAAACUGCAUUCGAUACUGCCGUGCUUGAGGACUGGAGAGGAGACUGGAAUUUACGGUGUAGCGGUGAAAUGCGUAGAUAUCGUAAGGAAGACCAGUGGCGAAGGCGGGUCUCUGGACAGUUCCUGACGCUGAGGCACGAAGGCCAGGGGAGCAAACGGG